GGGCGGCGGGCGAUGGGGAGCAGCGGGCACGGCGAGCCGGGCCUGGGCACGGCGCCGAGGGAGAGCCGGGCGGAGCGGCCCCGGCUCUGUGAAUAGCCAGAAGCGGCUUGUGUCGCAGGUGACUGAGAUGAACAUACCAAGUUGGAGCAUUUCUCUUCAAUGAUGCUGCUUUGGAGCAGAGGGAACAGAAAAUAAUGCAGUGAAAAGGGAUCUGGAUAGCUAGGGAUCAAAAUAGUGAUCUGAAAAAAAAAAAAAAAAAUCAAACCAAAGCAAACCUGCAUAGUUCUGAAAUGAGAUCUCACUGCUAAUUGAAAAACUUAUCGUGUAUUGCAAUUGCUUCUUUUAUUUUCUUUCAGGUUUUUGGCUACAUACCCUGAUAUUCAUUGAACAGCUCUGAAAUUAGAAGAGUUGUGCCUUCUGCCUGUUUGUGAAUUCUGACAGAUAAAAGUUUUGAAAUAUGUUGGCUUCAGCAAAGUCAGGAUGGAGUGAUGCAGAAUUCAGUGUCUCUCUGAAUUCAUUUUAAGACUAAAGAUUUUAGUUUUACAAACAUGUUUGUUUUUUUAUUAAAAUAAAAAAAUGUAAUACAUAACAGUAUGGUUAAGAAGCCAGGUUUUAUUACCUGGCCUCAAUCACAGAGUAAGAUUACUGAAGAUUACUGUUGCACAGCAUGAGGCAAUAUGCACUCAUGAAUAGCCGGUGUUAUAUGUGAGGAUAUAUUGGGAUUCCGUCUAUUUUAAAAUAAUAUUCUCUCUUGCAUGAGUGUUCAGUGAGGUUUCUCUUCCCAAAGCAAACCUUCAUGGAAGAAGAGGAAAUUGCACUAGGUGGUUAGUGUAUAAACUAGCUCAUUUUUGCUAGCUGUAGGGUAUUGUUAAGUAUGAGCUGUUUUUAUUUAAACUUAGCUAAUUUUAUUUAAAAUACCUUCUGUUCAUUUACUCUAAAGCUGUAUCCCCAGACUCAUUAAGAAGAGUUUAAUGAGGUAGAAAUCCAUUUAAAAUGAGAGAUUUUUCCAUAUAUAUUUGUGAUAUAAAUUGAUUGUUACGGAAAAUGGAUUAUGCUACAGUUUGAGCACAUUAUGUAAGAUUAUAAAGGGAUAUUAAUAUACAAGGAUAUUAAUUGUUCUUUGUUGCAGUACCGUUAUUUACAUCAGGAUUUGAUGGAGAACACUUAUUCAUGUCCUCAGAAUUGCUAGUUGAAAUGGUGAUUAGUUGGAAGAAAGAAGAUACUGCUGUACAGCGAUGUGGGUAUAGAGAGGUUUAGGUGGUGGUGUUAGAAUCAUGUUAUUGUCUAAGUAGCAGACACAUUAUGAUGACUAUAUUUAGUACUGGCUUCUCUUAUUCAAAGUGCUGUCCAGACAUUAAGGUCAGGAGUAUGUCUGCCUCCCAACCAUUGUUCUUCCUCCAGAAGUAUUUAAAAAGGAAAGUGGAGAGAGGACAUAAGGAAUUUCCUUGGUAGAAGUCAAGCAGCUGAAAUUAGAUGGAGUAGCAGUUCUCAGAGACCACAGCUUUGCACAGUGCCUGUGUAAAGCUACAAGAAAUAGCUCAUCCACAGAAGACAUGGGGUGAAGACUCAUCAAAUUUACUUUCCAAACAGAUCCCCAGAUAUGUUUAGCUUCCAAAAGAAGCAUUGCAGACUUCUGGGGGAAAAUGAGAGGAAGAGAUGACACUGAUUUUUAUCAUUCUGGUUUCUACCAUAGCUCUGAGGAAGGUUGUGUCUUCUUUGGCCCUGGCUUUGUAGCUUCAGAGUUGGUACACCUCUUCAGCUUUUCCAGCAGAACCAGCUUACCGUUCCCACAAAUGUUAGAAUUGUUUCCAGUGAAGGCUGGUAUUUGUGUUGUGGAAGAGCAGUCCUGUGAUUUGAGCAGUUGAUUUUAUGAUUGUUUAACAUUACUAUAGACAAAAAUGCAUCAAUAGCUUCUACGAGUUGGAACCUGAGUUUCCAUGUUUUCAAUAGAUGCCAUAUGUAAAAUUAUCAGAUUAUUGGCAUAAAGUAUGCAGCAAAAAUGAAAUACAUUAUUAAAAAUAAACUAGUAUUUUGUGUAGUCCUUCAUACAAUUACAAAACAGGUACUGAAAUGUGUUCAAUUAGAGUAAUCAAAAGUUAAUUAAAUUUCUGAACAACAUAACAAAUUCAGUGUGAAGGCUGUGUCAGGCACAAUUACAGCUUUUCUAAGUGAGAAGGGGAAAUUUGGCUCUAUGAGAAAGGUAGCCAGAUAAAGACAUGCAAUCUGCUUGCUUACUAUGAUUGCCUAAAGGAAAUAAGAGCACUAUUAAUCACAGUUUCUCUAAAGGCGUCAGGCAUGUUCAUUUGCCUGUGACAUUUAACUACUGUGUUUUUUCCCUGUUUGGGUGUCUCUUUUACCAAACCUUUGCAUGAUUGACAGACACAGUUAAAAAGACUUCUGUAUCCUGCUCCAAUGAAAUCGACAGAGCAGUGGGACUAGCCUACCUACAGUAUGUAGCAGAGGUUCUAAUUGUAACAUCUCAUGCUGGUUAGAAGUAAACAAUUUUUUUCACAGCUGAGCUAAUUUAAUAAAUCACAGUCCUGAACCUUUCUUAUGCAGAGUCAACCUUGACUUUCAGCACAAUACUCAAUUCUAGAAUUCAGAGGGGUGUUGUACCUAGCCACCAAAUUUGACUCCUGGAAGAGUCCCUCACAGGUCAGCAGUUCUGUGCUCUUCUUAGCAAUAGUACUGCCACAUCCAGGCUGAUCCCUGCAGGCACAUUCAAAUGUCUUUGUACUUGCUUCCCUGGUCUCUGGAGUUUGGAAUCUGGGUUCUACACACUGGGAGUGCGUGGAAAUUACUUGGAUGUAGAACAGUAAGUGAAGCAGUGGUGAGGGAAGAGGCGCCCACCCAGGUAUAGAAGGCUCACCCUACGGUCACAGGCCUGCAGCAAAUGGGGAGGAGUGCUGAAUGAGAGUCAGGAGCUGUACGGGCUGUUCGCCAUCCCUGAGGAAGCUCGGUACCCCUACUCAGGCCAGCUUUGAUCAGUGAAACUCGGCUCCUUGUGCUCCAUACGGAGCUGCUGACCGCCCGCCUGCGCAGAGCCCAGCACUGGUCUGGCAGUGUGGUGGGUGGCAGUUCUGCUUUGCUUCCAGCCCCCGAGCUGACCCCUGCCUGACUGCUAGAUGGGUGUUGCAAACUGGGUUCUUCCUAAUGGAGGGAGGUAUUUAGGCCGGGCCGUUGCAGGUGCUGUGGAGCACAGUUCCUACAUUCUUUAGGCCCCACCUUCAGGGUAGGUUUGGUGCAGACUUGAGGUGACUCCACCAAGUGCUUGUGCUGUACUCUGCAGCCCCUGUCAUGUGAAAGAAUUAAUCUGUUCUCUUCCCUAGGUAUUGCUGCAUCACUGCUCUCUGCCUCUCAAACACUUCUGCUAUAAUAAUUGGUACUACAGAGGUGUGUGUUUGAUAGUUAAUUUUUUUUUCAUUUACAGUGAGAAAUUUUAGUGGUAAUUUGAGGGUGUUGGUAAAGACAAAAAUGUAUCAGUAUCUUCUAGGAUCUGGAACUUCGGUUUCCAUGUCUUCGGUAGUUGCCAUACGUAAAACAAUCAGAGUAUUGGUAUAAAACUGCAUCGUGUUACUAGAAUUGUACAUGGAUUGAGACAUGGCUUCUCUAUGUUGCUUUCACAAACAGUGUGAAGGGCCAUUUAAUAUUCUCUAUCUACCUGGAGGACUCCUUGCCUCCAGUUACUGUUGAGUGUACAGGCAUAACCAGUGCAUGUCAUUUUUUUUGCAUUUACACAGAUGACUUUCAAAAUAAAACUUACCACAGCUUCAGGCCAAAAUCUUUCUCCUUGAGCCACAGCUCCUAUCAUUUUUUUCCCCUCAGGCAUACUGAUCCUUAGCUAGUCAGGAAAGCAUGCACACAAAUGAUAGGUCAUUAGGAAAUUCUCUGAAUAGCAAACCUCUGAAGUCAUCCCAAGUGUGAUUUGCCAUGCAUCAUGCUAAAACUGGGUAAGUUUGAGGAGGCACUAAUUACAUGCUUGGGCUGUCAUUUAUCAGUUGUCGGAGCUGUUGUUCCCAGAACACAGCAACCUCUUUUGUGGCAUAGUUCAACAAGAUUGCCAGAGCUCAAUGAGCAAAGCAGGGUUGACAGAUUUUGGCAUUUUAUUCCCUUCAAUGUAAAAUCAUUGCAUUACAACACAAAUGGGUAUCUCACUUUGGCAUAACACAGCAUCAUAUACAGAUACAAUAAUGUUGAUCUAUGGGCUUUUCUUAAAAUUAUAUUUUGGAAACUCAUUCCCUUUUAGAACAAAUGGCAACUGUAGCAGUUUCAUUUACCAUCAGCCUUUUUGAUAUUUUGUUUCAGUUAAUACAAUAGUGUAUAAUAUGUAAUCCUUUCAUGAUUUUAACCAAAAUAAAUAGAAGGUGAACUUGUUUCCCCUCAGGGCUUGUGGGAAAAAAAGGAGAUGUUUAAUGCUGUGAGCUAAGUAAUAGAAGAUUGUAAAUUCUAAUGAAUAUUCAUGACAUCAUAUAAGGUAACAGAGCACGUGUCAAGAAAUAAUGUGGCUUCCUGCUAGGACUUCCAGUGUGGUUUAACAUGUUUCAGAGAGCUUGUAUUGUCAAUAAUUGUUUUUAAAUAUUUAAUUUUCACACUUUCUUAAAGCACAGAUUUUUUAAAAUGCAUGUUUCUGAAUUCAUUUGGGGUGAUAUUAUUACUUUAUUAUUUGAUACCUCCAAAGCACUGCAAUGAUGAAAAGGAUAUUUUUUCCACAUAAUCUUGGGGUUUUUCUUAAGCUGCCAAAGGUUCACAGUUACUUUCUUUCACAAUAGAUACUAAAUAGCUGCUACAGAGUGCAAGUAAAACAGUUUAUCGUCAAUAUUUGAUGUUCUAACAGAAUAGAAAAAUGGUAUUUGGUGUAAUUUAAAGAGCUUUUUAUUUCACAGAUAAUUCUGGGAACUGCUGGAGGCUCACAUUUUUAUGAAUAAUUGGAUAAAACAAUUACUCUAACUUGGGAUGUUUUAAUAUCAAUUACAGAUAUUUAAUCUUCCCCUGGAUAUUCUGUUGCCUAUAGGACAAAAAAUAAUUGUGUCUUCAUAGUGACAGUUUGAGUGAGGGCCACAUCCAGAUUGAAAAUACCUUCAUUUUGGUGCCCACAAAUAAAUUCCAGCAGAAAUAUGAGGUGUUUUGACUCGUACUGUAGAAAACUCAGAUAUAGUUAAUGUACUCUGGAGCUUAGGGAAUGACUCAGCUCAAUUUCAGGUGAACCUCUAGGCUACGUAUGUACUAGGAAGUUAAUCGCAGGAAAUAUUCUUGGACACUGCAACUCAUCUUUACUUUUAAUAGUUCCUGACAUACUUUUUGCCAGGGCUCACUCACUAACAAAAUAAUUCUGGACCUGGUUCAGCAGUUAAGAUGGGCCAGAGCCCAUUCUCAAGAGAUGGGUUGCAUGACACCACCCUGCUUGGCAAACCUCCUUUUUCUAACAACUUUGAGUCCUGAGUGUGAGCUAAUAAGCCAAUUGCUGAAUUUAACAAUCACUUAGUGUCAAAACAAUUUUGUAUUUUCUAUCAAUAGUCCCUUGAUUUCCUAUAAUACUGUUCUAUUUCUUCAUGUCAAAGUUUGAUUAAAUUGGUAUUUCAAAAAGUACAGUGCAGUCCUUAAGUGGCAGUAAUUAGAAGAAUGCAGAUUAAACUUAUUUCUGUGGUUGAGUUGGUUUUCAGAACUUAAGUUUUGAGAUCCACAGGCCAAGAGCUUUCCUGAAGAAUUCACUAGAAAAUUGCCUUCCUCUGAACCAAUUACAAUGAGAAACCUAGUUACUUUGUUGUAGGGAGCCAUGAACCCAGUCCCGCUUCUCUUCAUGCCCAGGUAGCUGGGAUGGAGAAGAAAGCAAAGGUAAAUUCUCUGAAUUGUGAAGACCUUGUUCAGCUUCUUCUAAAAGUUAAAUUUCAAAGGAUCUCUGCUUCAGGCUGUUAUUUCCUUGGCCUAAGCUUCCUAUAAAGGAGAAAAUAGGCAAGUUAUAAACAUGCCUAUCUUCACUCCUUGUGCUAGGAACAUCAGUUGGCUCUGCUCUGCCUAAAGCAGCCUACUGUUUGACAUUAAAUGAUAUUAGCAUAAUUUAAAAACUGAGGCACUGUGUGUCUCUCUUUGGGGGGUAAAUCAGUAAUAGUAACAUUUCAGCAUAGGAGAUCAGAAAUCAGAAACUAGAUUAUGUUCCUGGAUCUGCUUCUGGCUCAGUGUAGAACCCUGAAGAAGAGUUACUUUCCUUCACAUUUGAGGAUUAACCAGAGGAUUGCAUCCUACGAAUCAGCUGCUCUGGGGCCACAAUGGUAGAGUGCCUCACAGUUUUAUAUGCUAGUGCUUCAAACAGGGUACAGAGACACAAGAAGUGUUCUUGGCCCACAUUUAUUUUCAUCUGAGAUGUGUCCUUGCAGACCAAAACACUCUGGAGCAGGUUGCUCCUGGCAUAAUUGUGGAACUGGUCCAUAUACACCCAAAGUACAUCGGUGCCCUUCUGAAAUACCUUGCACUGCUAGUUUACUGGGAAUUAGGAGGUAAGUAUUGAAUGGCCACGGAGCAAAACUGAACUGGUUUGGAACAUGAACCGGAUUUUUAAAAUAAUUACUACACAGCAAAAACACUGAAAGUUGAUGUAAUGUCUCAGUCUCAUUGGUCGAGUAAGAUUAAUUUGCUAUACGGAACUCAUUCAGACUGAAGGUUUUUGAUCUUAAACAUGCUUUCUGUGAAGCAUAAGCUCAUUACUGAUAAAAUUGAAUGAAGAACAGAAUUAAAAAUAUUUCAGAAACUGAAACUGUGACUGAAUGUCAUUAUGACUCAGACCAAUGGUGUCAAAUGGUUUACUGAAGCUUUAAGGACAGUGACCAUUUUUUUAUUGUGUAUUUAUACAAUGUCUAAUUCAAUAGGGCUCUUUCUGCCCCUGGGACUCUUAUCAUUGCAAUUUAUCUCCAUUACUGGAAGAAAAAAAAAAAAAAGGAAAGAAGAAGGAAAGAAAAUGCCAGUUUUCCUUCAAUGCUUGUAAAAUGUAUGGUAAACAUUAAGAAUAAUUAAAAAAAAAAUCAAAACCUGUGUUCUCUUCAAGUAUGGAAAUACUGUUAAUUGGAGUUAAUUAUAUUCAUGCAAGGAAUAUCUAUAUAUCAGGUACCUACAAAAAAUUAUGUGGCUUUGUUACUGAAGGGUAUAUUCAACAAAAUAAAUCCCUUCAUUUUCUGCACCACUUGCUUAGGGCUGGAGAAAUUGCUGUAAUAUCAGCUUCAUCUUCAACAGGAUGUGACUGUUACUAUAGUAAGCAAUAUUAACCUGAAGAACUUGAUGACUGACUUCAGAAGAAUUUAGUGAUAAUUUGAAUAAGGUUUCCAUCUUUUCUUGACUUGGAAGGACUGCACUGAUUAAAAUGUCCACAUGAAAGCAAUAUACAAACUAAAUUGGGCUCAAUAUUGCCAGGCCUUCUUCCUCAUUUAGCAAAAUAGAACUAAAGGAGACAAUUUCUUUCUCAAUUUAAGGUUUGGCAGAGCAUUCACACAGGGUUGAGCUACUUUUGUGUUGUUUUAUUUAUCAAAAAUAUUAAUACACAUGAUAAAGAAAAA